rnacentral:rRNA from 1 species
GGACGAACGCUGGCGGCGUGCCUAAUACAUGCAAGUCGAACGGUCUUUCUAUGGAGCUUGCUUCCACUGAGAAGAUAGUGGCGAACGGGUGAGUAACACGUGGGUAACCUGCCCAUAAGAGGGGGGAUAACAUCCGGAAACGGGUGCUAAUACCGCAUAGUUUUCUUGAUCGCAUGAUCGGGAAAGGAAAGACGGCCUUUGUGCUGUCGCUUAUGGAUGGACCCGCGGCGUAUUAGUUAGUUGGUGAGGUAACGGCUCACCAAGACGAUGAUACGUAGCCGACCUGAGAGGGUGAUCGGCCACAUUGGGACUGAGACACGGCCCAAACUCCUACGGGAGGCAGCAGUAGGGAAUCUUCCGCAAUGGACGAAAGUCUGACGGAGCAACGCCGCGUGAGUGAAGAAAGGUUUUCGGAUCGUAAAACUCUGUUGUCAGAGAAGAACAAGUUGGAGAGUAACUGCUCCAGCCUUGACGGUAUCUGACCAGAAAGCCACGGCUAACUACGUGCCAGCCGCGGC